rnacentral:rRNA from 1 species
AUGAGAUUUCUUUCUACGGAUAUAAACGAUAGAAAUAUGCUAUUUGCUGCUAUUCCAUCUAUUUGUGCAUCAAGUCCAAAGAAGAUCUCAAUCUAUAAUGAAGAAAUGAUAGUAGCUCGUUGUUUUAUAGGCUUUCUCAUAUUCAGUCGGAAGAGUUUAUGUAAGCCUAAUUUAGUAAGUGUGAAGUGGAAGGGCAAGUACGGGUGA